GCAAUGGGCAACCGGCGAACGGGUGCUAACACGUGAGCAACCUACCGAACUGUGGGGGAUAGCCGGCCUAACGGCCGAGUAAUACCGCAUACGCUCUCAGAGAGGCAUUUCUUUGGGAGGAAACCUACGGGACAGAUCGAGGGGCUCGCGGCCUAUCAGCUAGUUGGCGAGGUAACGGCUCACCAAGGCAACGACGGGUAGCUGGUCUGAGAGGAUGGCCAGCCACAUUGGGACUGAGAUACGGCCCAGACUCCUACGGGAGGCAGCAGUGGGGAAUCUUGCGCAAUGGCCUAACGGCUGACGCAGCGACGCCGCGUGUGGGAUGAAGCUCUUCGGAGUGUAAACCACUGUUGCCCGGGACGAACAGCUCGAUUAAUCGAGCCUGACGGUACCGGGUGAGGAAGCACCGGCUAACUCCGUGCCAGCAGCCGCGGUAAUACGGGGGGUGCGAGCGUUGUCCGGAAUCACUGGGCGUAAAGGGCGCGUAGGUGGUUUGAUAAGGGUGUGGUGAAAGUCCGGGGCUCAACCCCGGAUCUGCCGUGCCGACUGUCAAACUCGAGGACUGUAGAGGCAGACGGAAUUCCGGGUGUAGCGGUGGAAUGCGUAGAGAUCCGGAGGAAGACCGGUGGCGAAGGCGGUCUGCUGGGCAGUUUCUG
rnacentral:rRNA from 1 species